AGUUUUCUUCUCUCAGUUUAUCUGUAAGAUUUAUACCACAAACUCAGAGAAGAGAUCUGC
rnacentral:pre_miRNA from 2 species